rnacentral:ncRNA from 1 species
CAUAAGCUUGGUCCUGACUUUACUGUCAGCUUUGAUAAGAUUUAUACAUGCAAGUUUCCGCACCCCCGUGCGAAUGCCCUCUUGCAACCACACCGGAACAGAGGAGCAGGCAUCAGGCACGAGCACGUCUUUGCCCACAACGCCUUGCUUAGCCACACCCCCACGGGUAAUCAGCAGUAAUAGACAUUAAGCCAUGAGUGCAAGCUCGACUUAGUUAAUAUCAAAUAGGGCCGGUAAAACUCGUGCCAGCCACCGCGGUUAUACGAGAGGCCCAAGUUGACAAAACUCGGCGUAAAGCGUGGUUGAUAGUAUAAAACACUAAAGCCGAACACCUUUAAAACCGUCAUACGUACUUAAAGGCAGGAAGACCUACAACGAAAGUGGCUUUAAUAAAUAUGAACCUACGAAAGCUAAGACACAAACUGGGAUUAGAUACCCCACUAUGCCUAGCCCUAAACAAAAACAACCCCAUACAACAACCGUUCGCCAGGGAACAACGAGCCCCAGCUUAAAACCCAAAGGACUUGGCGGUGCUUUAGACCCCCCUAGAGGAGCCUGUUCUAGAACCGAUACUCCCCGUUCAACCUCACCAUCCCUUGCCCUUCCCGCCUAUAUACCGCCGUCGUCAGCUUACCCUGUGAAGGCCUAAUAGUAAGCAAAACCGGUAAAACCUAAAACGUCAGGUCGAGGUGUAGCGUAUGAGAUGGAAAGAAAUGGGCUACAUUUACUGUUCCAGUAAACACGAAUGCUGUGCUGAAAUAAGCAGUUGAAGGAGGAUUUAGCAGUAAGAGGGGAAUAGAGCGCCCCCCUGAAAACGGCCCUGAAGCGCGCACACACCGCCCGUCACUCUCCCCAACAUAAAUAUAUACAAUAAAUAAUAAAUCAUAAAACGCAAGGGGAGGCAAGUCGUAACAUGGUAAGUGUACCGGAAGGUGCACUUGGAAAAACC